UUCAACCCUUAAGCCUCGCUGCUUAGCGUUGGGGAGCUACCGUCUUGUGCGGUAACUCUCUAAAGUAGUGGCGGAGUCGGUUCUCACUCUAAGCGUAGUACUAUAUAUCUCGCUUUUGCAGUAGUAUCGUCCCUCGCCGUAAAACACCCCAAUUUAUCAAGGUUGACCUCGGAUCAGGUAGGAAUACCCGCUGAACUUAA
rnacentral:misc_RNA from 1 species